rnacentral:rRNA from 1 species
CCCUUAGAUGUUCUGGGCCGCACACGCGCUACACUGAAGGAGGCAGCGUGUACUCCUGGAUCGAAAGAUUUGGGUAACCCGCGAAUCUCCUUCGUGCUAGGGAUUGAGGUUUGCAAUUAUCCUUCAUGAACGAGGAAUUCCCAGUAAGUGCAAGUCAUAAGCUUGCGCUGACUACGUCCCUGCCCUUUGUACACACCGCCCGUCGCUACUACCGAUUGAAUGAUUUAGUGAGGACUUCGGACUGGGACCGAUGCGGCUCUCGGGCUGCGUCGGUAUUCUGGAAAGAUGUCCAAACUGUAUCAUUUAGAGGAAGUAAAANUCGUAACA